rnacentral:rRNA from 1 species
GCGAACGGACGAGAAGCUUGCUUCUCUGAUGUUAGCGGCGGACGGGUGAGUAACACGUGGAUAACCUACCUAUAAGACUGGGAUAACUUCGGGAAACCGGAGCUAAUACCGGAUAAUAUUUUGAACCGCAUGAUUCAAAAGUGAAAGACGGUCUUGCUGUCACUUAUAGAUGGAUCCGCGCUGCAUUAGCUAGUUGGUAAGGUAACGGCUUACCAAGGCAACGAUGCAUAGCCGACCUGAGAGGGUGAUCGGCCACACUGGAACUGAGACACGGUCCAGACUCCUACGGGAGGCAGCAGUAGGGAAUCUUCCGCAAUGGGCGAAAGCCUGACGGAGCAACGCCGCGUGAGUGAUGAAGGUCUUCGGAUCGUAAAACUCUGUUAUUAGGGAAGAACAUAUGUGUAAGUAACUGUGCACAUCUUGACGGUACCUAAUCAGAAAGCCACGGCUAACUACGUGCCAGCAGCCGCGGUAAUACGUAGGUGGCAAGCGUUAUCCGGAAUUAUUGGGCGUAAAGCGCGCGUAGGCGGUUUUUUAAGUCUGAUGUGAAAGCCCACGGCUCAACCGUGGAGGGUCAUUGGAAACUGGAAAACUUGAGUGCAGAAGAGGAAAGCGGAAUUCCAUGUGUAGCGGUGAAAUGCGCAGAGAUAUGGAGGAACACCAGUGGCGAAGGCGACUUUCUGGUCUGUAACUGACGCUGAUGUGCGAAAGCGUGGGGAUCAAACAGGAUUAGAUACCCUGGUAGUCCACGCCGUAAACGAUGAGUGCUAAGUGUUAGGGGGUUUCCGCCCCUUAGUGCUGCAGCUAACGCAUUAAGCACUCCGACCUGGGGAGUACGACCGCAAGUG